AGUGAACGCUGGCGGCGUGCUUAACACAUGCAAGUCGAACGAGAACGGAAUAUAGCUUGCUAUAUUUGUCAGCUAAGUGGCGCACGGGUGCGUAAUGUAUAGAUAACCUGCCCUUAAAAAAGGAAUAACAGUUGGAAACGACUGCUAAUGCCCUAUAUGCCUUUAAUACAUAAGUAGGCAAGGGAAACGCUUUAGUGCUUAAGGAUGGGUCUGUAUGGUAUCAGCUUGUUGGUGAGGUAUGGCUCGCCAAGGCUAUGACGCCUAACUGGUUUGAGAGGAUGAUCAGUCACACUGGAACUGAGACACGGUCCAGACUCCUACGGGAGGCAGCAGUGGGGAAUAUUGCACAAUGGACGAAAGUCUGAUGCAGCAACGCCGCGUGGAGGAUGACACAUUUCGGUGCGUAAACUCCUUUUAUAUAGGAAGAUAAUGACGGUACUAUAUGAAUAAGCACCGGCUAACUCCGUGCCAGCAGCCGCAGUAA
rnacentral:rRNA from 1 species